CAAUAGCGUAUAUUAACGUUGUUGCAGUUAAAAAGCUCGUAGUUGAAUUCAAAACAAGGAUUUCCUGGUUCAUCUUCGGAUGUAACUAGGAAUCCUGUUUAAAGAGUCAUGAACAUUAGAUGAUCUUAACCGGUUGUCUUUUGUGAUUGGCAAAUUUACUUUGAAAAAAUCAGAGUGCUUAAAGCAGGCUAAUGCCUGAACGUUGUUGCAUGGAAUAAUGAAAUAUGACUUCGGUCUUAUUUUGUUGGUUUUAGAGAUUGAAGUAAUGAUUAAAAGGGACUGACGGGGGCAUUUGUAUACCAGGGGGAGAGGUGAAAUUCAUAGAUCCUUGGUAGACAAUCUACUGCGAAAGCAUUUGCCAAGAAUGUUUUCAUUA
rnacentral:rRNA from 1 species